GCGGAUGUGGCGGAACUGGCAGACGCGCAGGCUUCAGGAGCCUGUGGGAUUAAACCCGUGGAGGUUCGACUCCUCUCAUCCGCA
rnacentral:tRNA from 1 species